UACGGGGGGAGCAAACGUUGUUCGGAAUCACUGGGCGUAAAGGGCGUGUAGGCGGCUGGAUAAGUGGGAUGUUAAAUCCCCCGGCUCAACCGGGGACCUGCAUCUCAUACUGUUCAGCUCGAGCACAUCAGAGGAGACUGGAAUUCCCGGUGUAGCGGUGAAAUGCGCAGAUAUCGGGAGGAACACCAAUGGCGAAGGCAGCUCGCUGGGACGAUACUGACGCUGAGGUGCGAAAGCGUGGGGAGCAAACAGG
rnacentral:rRNA from 1 species